GGGUCAAUGAUGAGAUCGCAUUGUCUCGAAUGGAAAUGAUGACCUAAAUAAUGCCCAGUGUGAGUGCUCUGAGGCCC